CAAUGCGAAAAAUAAAAUUGGACUUUCGGCUAGAAAAGGCAAAGACAGAAUAGAAAAAUCUUUAAUAAGAAGAAAAUGCCAUCAAUUUAAAAACAUACAGUAAAAACGAAAUUGUUAACCAUAAUGCGAAUAGUAAAGUACAUGGAGUAAAUAAAAAAAUGUCGAUGAAUUAGGCGUGGCGUGUAACCUAAAAAUAAACCUGUGUAUGGAAAUGUAUCGGACGUAAAUAGAUAGUUGUUAUCAACCAGUCAAAAAUAUAACAAUAUUCAACUCUUGAGUAAAAUUAUUUGGACUACCUUUUGAUACAUCUACCGCACAGGGGGUAUGUCUGCAAGUUCCUUGCUAAAAAAGAUGAUCACCAUUUACAAACCAAGGCUCACCACAACAGUUCAGGAUGGGGAAUAAUUGUGAUAAAAACUCACUAGCAUAAACGUGAAUUGGACUUCUUGAUAUUGUGUAGCUGGAACACUUUGAAUUAAUAUUGUGAUAUUCUUGACACGAGAUUAGACAUGGAACAGCACAUAAACUCGGUAUCCAGAUCGUGCUAUGUUCAGAUCAGACAAAUUGGUCACAUAAGAAAAUAUCUAACAACUAACGCAACAAAAUGUCUAGUAAUUAAACUCCGUAGUAACAUCACGGAUGGACUAUUGUAAUGUGCUGCUGCAUGUAAUACCGAAAACAAAUCUUAAAAGACUACAGUUUGUUCAAAACACAGCAGCCCGUCUCAUCACAAAAUCGUCCCGCUAUGACCAUGUUACUCCUAUCCUGAAAGAUCUCCACUGGCUACCUGUAGAGUACGGAAUCAAAUUCAAAAACCUAACACUUACCUAUAAAACAUUACAUAACAAAGGUCCAGUAUAUAUCAAGAAAAUGAUGAAUGUAUACCAAAUAAAACGAGACUGACGAUCCCAAAAUGGUUCAUUAAGACUGAAGUUACCUAGGCUACGAACACUGGAACAGCAAAUUAUUCAGUUUCAGUUUUAUGAUUGCAUAUGCCAUGUUUUGUGAUUUUCCUACAUAUCUGUGAUAUGUCACAUGUUUAAUUGUAAAGCGUCCUUGACCGUAUAUUUCAUAUGAAAAGGGCACUCAACAAAUCUGGUAUAAUAAUAAUAAUAAUAAUAAUAAUAACAUUGUGAAUUUGACUUCUUGGUGAAGAACAGUGAAUGAAUAGUGUGAUGUUGUUUUUACUUAGUAAAUCAUAAAUAUGCAGUAGUGACUGUUCUGGUGUUUUAUUAAUGUUUUAAAAAUAAAGUUAUAACUCUGA